ACCUUCCCGAAGCUUAUACUUCGUUCAGUCGAUUGUAUGAAAGAUUUUUUUUUAAAGAAACCGGUCUUUUACUGCAAAAAAAAGAAGAUAAAAGCGAUCUUUGUUUGAAGUAACGAAUGUCAUUCUUAAAAAAAAGAAAGUUUUCGUGUUUUAGGUCGUCCUGAUGCAAACGUAAAAGUUGAAAUAAAAAUUACACUCCGAGAUUACACUAAAGACAUUUCGCUAGCACACAUGGGACUAGAUUUAUUAAUCGUUCAUUUGCAAGUCAAAAAUAAUAAUUAUGCAAAAC
rnacentral:lncRNA from 1 species